rnacentral:rRNA from 1 species
GACGAACGCUGGCGGCGUGCUUAACACAUGCAAGUCGAACGAUGAACCCGGAGCUUGCUCCGGUGGAUUAGUGGCGAACGGGUGAGUAACACGUGAGUAACCUGCCCUUGACUCUGGGAUAACUGCGGGAAACUGUAGCUAAUACCGGAUACGACCCUCGGCGGCAUCGCCAGGGGGUGGAAAGAAUUUCGGUCAAGGAUGGACUCGCGGCCUAUCAGCUAGUUGGUGAGGUAACGGCUCACCAAGGCGACGACGGGUAGCCGGCCUGAGAGGGUGACCGGCGACACGGGGACUGAGACACGGCCCAGACUCCUACGGGAGGCAGCAGUAGGGAAUCUUCCGCAAUGGACGCAAGUCUGACGGAGCAACGCCGCGUGGGGGACGAAGGUCUUCGGAUUGUAAACCUCUUUCAGCAGGGACGAAGCGAAAGUGACGGUACCUGCAGAAGAAGCACCGGCUAACUAUGUGCCAGCCGCCGCCGUAA